GUACAUGGAACAUGUCUUAUCAUAAUAAUACUGGUUUGUAUAAGCUAUUUUAACAUAACGCGUGGUAGUUAAUUCAUGUACGCUUUCACAAUUUUGUAAGAAACAUAUAAUCAUUGUUAUCAUGAUUUCUUUUUAUUCAACAAUAAAUUGCAUGCUGUUAACAAUUUACUUCGAUAGUCCAACAAUAUAGUGACGGGUCUCUCUGGUUAUCAGUAUUACAUUACAAUUCAUCUACAUUAAUUCAUUUUUAAUCGUGAUAAAAACAAGUAUAUAUGAAAAUUCUUAUUCAUCGAUAUUUUCUAGCUUGUACUAUGGUAAAAAUAGUUUUCGGUAAUAGAAUGAAAUUCAAAACAGUGUGGCUGUGGCCAUUGAUUGACACAUUAAAUUCAUCCAUUGACUGGGACAAUUUAGGUGAACGUUUGUAUGUAACGACAACUGCUCACUAUGUACUUUUUAAAGACACUUAAACUAUGGGGUCACCAAAGGUUCUCAACACCUUAAUAAAGUAAUUCGAAAAAUUAAUCAGAAAUAACACGAUGUUUUGAUUUAUAUCAAUUAUAUAAAUCAAAACAUAAAGGUUAUUCCUGAUUAUAUUUUCUGAUUAUUUUAUAAUUAAAGGCGUUAAGAACCUUUGGUGACCCCACAGUUUAAAUGUAUCGUAAGGUAACGUCGGGACAGUGGUCGUUACAGACAAACGUUCACGUAAAUUGUCCCAGUCAAUGGAUGAAUUUAAUGUGUCAAUCAAUGGCCACAGCCACACUGUUUUGAAUUUCAUUCUAGUAUUAACUCUCCGUUAUCAAUUUACUAAAACUUUUAUAUUGUAUAAUAAUAUCUCUUCCUGGUACAUGUGGUAUGGAAAUAACCAGUUCUAAAAGUGAUUUAAAAAUAUGAUUUUAAGCUUUUCACAGGUAUGUCUGUCAGAAUAAAAAUUUCAAUGAAGUCAUAUUCUGAGCAAAUAAAAAUGUUCUUCUUUUUUUUUUAUAUAACUAUAAACAAUUGAGGAUAAUAGACGUAUAUCAGUGAUAAGUAAAAUUAUUUUUCUUAAUCAGUUCCAGACCUAGAAUUUUAUAAUCUAUUUACCUUUUCCUUUUCUUUUUUCACUGGAUUAUACAUUUUCAAAAUAGAAAUUAUUAGAACAGUUUGACAGUUUAUCAAGUAGACAUUUAUUCUUAGUAUGCUUACUAUAAUUGCCUGUAUUUUGUAGAUUAACAUGAAUUCUACUUAAAAUACAGAAUAUACAUCUUCAGAUUUUGUUUUUUAAAUGAUAUGUAUUGUCAUAAAAUAAUUAAUUUCAUUGUAUUGCCAAUAAUUUAUUAUAUUAUCCCAUACUAAAAUUCUUAAUGUUAGAAAAUAUUGUUAUUAAUAUUCAGUUUUUUCGAGAAGUUUCAUAAUUUUACUGUAGAAAUGUUUAAGAAAGUGGCUUUGACGAAACAUGUGAUCAUAAUCCUCUGUGCUGUUGCAAUAACGACAAUUUGAAAUGUUGCAGAUCUUCCACUUUUUCAAUAAAACUCUUACAAGGCAAAAUAAAGUGUAGCAAUUUCCAACUUAUUUUCUGUUAAAUAAUGAUGAACAAAUUUUAACAUAUAAUAAACUCAUCAUGGAUAUCAGGGCUAAAUUUAGUAUAUACGCCAGACGCGCGUUUCGUCUACAAAGACUCAUCAGUGACGCUCGAAUCCAAAAAAGUUAAAAAUAACGUAAUAAAUAAAUAAAAUACGAAGUUGAAGAGCAUUUAGAACCAAAAUUCCUAAACAUUUUGCCAAAUACAGCUAAGGUGAUCUAUAACAUGAAACACUCUUAUUGUAUUCAAUGUUAUCGUGAUUUGUAUGGUCAUAUACUUAUAUAUGGUUAUUGUUUUCCUUAAAACUGCGUCCGAAAAAUUAUGAGUUUGAUCACAUUCGUAUGAAACCUUAGACCCAAUAAAAGGUAUUUGAUGUUUCCCCCAAACUAUAAAUAACAGCAAAGACUUAUGCAUGUAACCUUUUAAAGUUCCCGUCCUUCAUAUGCAAGUAAUAUUUGAUGUUUGAUAUUGAAUCAAACAUACUUUUAACACAAACACAUCUUUUAUCAACAAACGACUCACCAUUGACGCUUAAAAUAAAAAAAAUAAAAUUAACAGGCGGAUAUCAUAUGGAAUUCAAUAUAUAUAAAAAUACCAUUAGCUCUUUAUUUUAGAAGACAUACACCGUCUAAGAACGGUGUUUGGAUUGCUUAUAUCUGUUUUUAUCAGAUGAUUGUACUAAAUGUAGAUAUGAAAUUUGAAUCAUAUUGUCAUGACAGUACUAUUUUAUUGUGAUAAAUUGUACUUAUACUUUUAAUUUAACAAAGUAAAAAUAUAUUCCCAGUGAAACAGAAUAGUGCUAUAUCUAUCUAUGUCUUUUAAUAGGAUCAAUGCAGAUUAAACUACGGACAGCCCUAGACAAUUUGACUUUGAAUUUAACUAUUUAUAUUGGUUCACGACCAAAGGAGAGAAAUAAUCAUAUGACAAGAUUCACAUGGAAGUCGUCCGAUGCCUGCGAUCCACGAAACAUGGACAUUGAACUUGCCCAGUAUCAUAAUGAAAAAAAUUGGGAAACCUGAAACACACGAAUG
rnacentral:lncRNA from 1 species